rnacentral:ncRNA from 1 species
UACGACAAAGGCAAACCCUAAGCGAUUAGGGGACGCAAAGUAAAGGGUCUUUAAGUUCUUAAGGAUUAUUGAGGGAAAGACAGCCUUGCUACCGAAA